UAANCGAUGUAUACUAGUUGUUGCUAAGCUAGUCUUGGCAGUAAUGCACCUAACGGAUUAAGUAUACCGCCUGGGGAGUACGGUCACAAGAUUAAAACUCAAAGGAAUAGACGGGGACCCGCACAAGCGGUGGAGCAUGUGGUUUAAUUCGAAGAUACGCGAAGAACCUUACCCGGACUUGAUAUCUAACAAAUCAUCUAGAGAUAGAAGAGUGUCUGCUUGCAGAAAUGUUAAGACAGGUGCUGCACGGCUGUCGUCAGCUCGUGUCGUGAGAUGUUGGGUUAAGUCCCGCAACGAGCGCAACCCACGUCAUUAGUUGCUAACAGUUCGGCUGAGCACUCUAAUGAGACUGCCUUCGUAAGGAGGAGGAAGGUGUGGACGACGUCAAGUCAUCAUGGCCCUUAUGUCCGGGGCGACACACGUGCUACAAUGGCAUAUACAAUGAGAAGCAAUAUCGCGAGAUGGAGCAAAUCUAUAAAAUAUGUCUCAGUUCGGAUUGGAGUCUGCAACUCGACUCCAUGAAGCCGGAAUCGCUAGUAAUCGUAGAUCAGCCAUGCUACGGUGAAUACGUUCCCGGGUCUUGUACUCACCGCCCGUCACACCA
rnacentral:rRNA from 1 species